rnacentral:lncRNA from 1 species
UCCAAAGUGGCACCCUAUCUCGGAAAAAAAAACCUGAACAAAUACAUACAUAAUACAUAUCUCUAAAGGCAAAUUAUUAAAAACUUUCUUCUUGAGGUCAACCAUGAGAGAAGGAGUCUCUCCCCAGCUACUACUGUGAUUUUAUUACCAAUCCAAACCACAGGGACCAGCAAAGAAGAAAUGAAAGUCAUGACCAUUAAAGCAGAAGAAAUAAAAACUAUAUUUUAAAUGAUGCAAUUACACGCAUAAAAAUUAUGAAGGCUCUGCAAUCAGAAGUGAUGGAUGAAGUCAUGAACAGCAGUAGAUGCAAGGUCAACAGUGUGUUUACAUUAAGCAAAAUGAAAAAUUUAAAUAGCAUUUAAAAUUGCUUCCAAAUACAUAAAUACUUAGAAACAAAUGCAACAGGAGACUUGUAAGGCAGGAAGUGCAAACAUUAUUGAGAAAAAUAUAAAGAUCUAAAUAAAUUGAGGAAUAUGCAAUGGUCAUUUUGGAAAUGCUCCAUGGUUGGAAUAUUGUUCAUCUUUCCAACAAUCAGCAGAAAUUGUAAAAUCUUAAGCAAAACUUCAAAAUCUUCUUUGUGAAUUUGAUGGGCUAAGUAUGUAUACUAUGUAUGUCAAUACAAAAAUGUUGAUAAGGAAAUAUUGACACCAAAUAAAAGUGAAUAUACUAUGAAACAGUGUUAUAUUUGGAUGAAAGACUUGAUGGCACAGAGUUCAUUUAAAUUAACUUUUCUGCUCUGCAAAAAAUCUCCAAAGAAAAUUAAAACAAAGAAACAAACAGACAAACAACAACAAAACAAAGUCACAGACCAGGAGAAAAUAUUUAUGACAGACAUGCUUGAUAAAAGACAGCUGCCCAAAAUAUAUAAAAACUUUCAAGACUCAACAGUAAGAAAACAGUAUCAUGUAAAAAGUGUGCCAAAGACCCAAACACUUACCAAACAAGACUCAGAGAUAGUAAAUAAGUGCACGGGAAGAGACUCCACAUCACUGUUGUUAGUGAAAUGCAAGUUCAAAUAAUGAGACACCACUAGACAACCAUAAGGUACAAUGGCCAGACUCUGGUGUAAUGACACCAACUGCUGCCAAGGGCGUAGGGUACCAAGAACCCUCAUUCAUGGUUCAAAGUGAUGGAUCAGGGGAAAACGUGUUAAUGUUGAAGGUCAGUAAGAAAUGUACCACUCUGGAGCUGUGGAGGGGAUGGCCCUGAGGAAGGUGGUGCACGGUCCUGCAGGGUUUCUGUGCCUUUACAUUUUUUUCUGUGGAUUUAAAAUUCCUCAAAAUUGAUCUUUGCAGAAGAAAACUUACCCUGAAGAUAAUAAAGCCUCUUAUAGAGUUAUGAGAGGUAAGAGAAUACAGUAUUACUCGUUAUUCAAAGACAAAUGGAAUCUUAAAGCUUUUUCAUGAUCCCCUGACUUAUGACAAUUGUGGCAACUCAGAAACAAUGGGGAAUGGAUUAUCUUUUCAGUACAAAAGAAUGCAAAGACAGUUGGGGAAAUAUGGGCCCUAAUCUUAUGCACUUGAUUUUAUGUUGAGUAUAGCUUUAAAUGUUAAAAAUAAAGCAAACAUUCAAAAUACAUAUGACUUCCUAUGACUUUGGGGACACAGGAGGAAAGUUUUACUCAGAAAUGGAAAAUAUUGACAGAACAGACUAAAUUAAAGUGAGUAACCUUUGUUUAACAAAGACAAUAUAAUAAAGUUUAAAUAGAAGGCAUAGAUGGAGAAAAUUAUUUACACUAUGCAUAAGCAAAGAGUGAUAUACUAAGAAUAUAGAUUCUUCUGCAAACCAACAAGCUGCUGACAAAUGUCUUAUAGUAAAAGGUUUAAAGAAAUCCUCAUGAGAAUAAAUUUGAAUGGUCAAUGAACAUGUGAAAAUUUUUAUACUUACAUUAAUCACCAGGGACGUGCUAAUUAAAUGCACACUGUGACAUCACAGUACCUAGAGUGGUUAAAACUGUAAAGACAGCAUCAAAUGUUGGUUUGGAUCAUGGAGCAACAAGAAUUCUCAGGCAUUGCUGGAAUUACUUUUUCACAUUGCUGGGAAUGGAACUCAUAUCACUGAAUGCACUAGGCAAGCAUCUACAAUUGACUCACUAUAUAUCCCACUCAGGCCCUGAGCUUGUGAUAAUUGUUGUGUCUUAACAGAGAUGGGACUACAGGGGUGAACCACCAGGGGCAGGUCAGUACAUCAUCUAUAUUUGAAAACUAUUUCACAGUGCUUGCUAAGGUUAAAUGCAUUUUCACACUUUGACUCACAGUAAACAAUUCUUAUUUAUAUGGAAGUGUAAAAGAUUUUUUGUAGGAGUAGUAUUCAAAAUUCAAAGUGUUAGCACACACCUUUAAUCCCAGUACUCCUAGGUAGACGCAGGCGGAUCUCUGGAAGUUCAAGUUCAGUCUGGUCUAUAUCGAGAGUUUCAGGACAGCCAGGGUUGUGAAGAGAGACCAUGUCUCAAAAACUCUAAACCUGGAAAGCUCCAAUGUUCCUCAUAUGGAGUAUAUGC